rnacentral:misc_RNA from 1 species
GAUGAAGAACGUAGCGAAAUGCGAUAAGUAAUGUGAAUUGCAGAAUUCAGUGAAUCAUCGAAUCUUUGAACGCACAUUGCGCCCGCCAGUAUUCUGGUGGGCAUGCCUGUUCGAGCGUCAUUACAACCCUCAGGCCCCCGGGCCUGGCGUUGGGGAUCGGCGGAGCCCCCCGUGGGCACACGCCGUCCCCCAAAUGCAGUGGCGGUCCCGCCGCAGCUUCCAUCGCGUAGUAGCUAACACCUCGCGACUGGAGAGCGGCGCGGCCACGCCGUAAAACACCCAACUCUUCUGAAGUUGACCUCGAAUCAGGUAGGAAUACCCGCUGAACUUAAGCAUAUCAAUAAGCGGAGGA